GACGAAGGAUGCAAGCGUUAUCCGGAUUCAUUGGGUUUAAAGGGAGCGUAGGCGGCCUUAUAAGUCAGCGGUGAAAUCUCUGGGCUUAACCCAGAAAUUGCCAUUGAUACUGUAGGGCUUGAGUAUAGUUGCCGUUGGCGGAAUAUGACAUGUAGUGGUGAAAUACAUAGAGAUGUCAUAGAACACCGAUUGCGAAGGCAGCUGACGAAACUAUAACUGACACUGAGGCUCGAAAGUGCGGGGAUCAAACAGG
rnacentral:rRNA from 1 species